rnacentral:ncRNA from 1 species
AAACUGAAGAGUUUGAUCAUGGCUCAGAUUGAACGCUGGCGGCAGGCUUAACACAUGCAAGUCGAG